ensembl:misc_RNA
CUUAACAGCCUGAAGAUAAAGUUCCCCAGUUUAUCCACACAAAAGCGAGAGAGCAUGGAAAGUGGCAGUGCAUGCUUCUCCAUGCAACCCUGCCAAUAUGCCUCUGAUCUGCUCUGGAGGGAUCGCCGACCGGGGGCAAAUCUCAGGCUAUGUCUACACUGAGAUAGUGGUGUGAUUCCU